rnacentral:rRNA from 1 species
UACGUAGGGGGCAAGCGUUGUCCGGAUUUAUUGGGCGUAAAGAGCGUGUAGGCGGCCAGACAAGUCUGCUGUGAAAACUCGAGGCUCAACCUCGAGCUGUCGGUGGAAACUGUCUGGCUAGAGUCCGGAAGAGGCAAGUGGAAUUCCCGGUGUAGCGGUGAAAUGCGCAGAUAUCGGGAGGAACACCAAUGGCGAAGGCAGCUUGCUGGGACGGUACUGACGCUGAGGCGCGAAAGCGUGGGGAGCAAACAGG